AUUGAACGCUGGCGGCAUGCCUUACACACGCAAGUCGAACGGCAGCACUUGUGCUUGCACCUGGUGGCGAGUGGCGAACGGGUGAGUAAUACAUCGGAACAUGUCCUGUAGUGGGGAUUGCCCCGCCGAAGCCGGCUUAAUACCUCCUACGACUCUCCGGUUGAAACCGGGGGCCCUUCGGCCCUCCCCCUAAAGGUUUGCCCAAUGCCUGAUUAGCUAGUUGGGGGGUUAAAGGCCUACCAAGGCGACGAUCAGUAGCUGGUCUGAGAGGACGACCAGCAACACGGGGACUGAGACAAGGCCCAGACUCCUACGGGAGGAAGCAGUGGGGAAUUUUGGACAAUGGGCGAAAGCAUGAUCCAGCAAUGCCGCGUGUGUGAAGAAGGCCUUCGGGUUGUAAAGCACUUUUGUCCGGAAAGAAAUCCUUGGCCCUAAUACGGUCGGGGGAUGACGGUACCGGAAGAAUAAGCACCGGCUAACUACGUG
rnacentral:rRNA from 1 species